rnacentral:rRNA from 1 species
GGAUGACACUUUUCGGAGCGUAAACUCCUUUUGUUGGGAAAGAAUAAUGACGGUACCCAACGAAUAAGCACCGGCUAACUCCGUGCCAGCAGCCGCGGUGAUACGGAGGGUGCAAGCGUUACUCGGAAUCACUGGGCGUAAAGGGCGCGUAGGCGGAUUAUCAAGUCUUUUGUGAAAUCUAACGGCUUAACCGUUAAACUGCUUAAGAAACUGAUAAUCUAGAGUAGGGGAGAGGCAGAUGGAAUUCUUGGUGUAGGGGUAAAAUCCGUAGAGAUCAAGAAGAAUACCUAUUGCGAAAGCGAUCUGCUGGAACUUAACUGACGCUAAUGCGCGAAAGCGUGGGGAGCAAACAGGAUUAGAUACCCUGGUAGUCCACGCCCUAAACGAUGUAUACUAGUUGUUGCUUUGCUAGUCAAGGCAGUAAUGCACCUAACGGAUUAAGUAUACCGCCUGGGGAGUACGGUCGCAAGAUUAAAACUCAAAGGAAUAGACGGGGACCCGCACAAGCGGUGGAGCAUGUGGUUUAAUUCGAAGAUACGCGAAGAACCUUACCCGGGCUUGACAUCUAUGGAAUCUCUUAGAGAUAAGAGAGUGCUAGCUUGCUAGAACCAUAAGACAGGUGCUGCACGGCUGUCGUCAGCUCGUGUCGUGAGAUGUUGGGUUAAGUCCCGCAACGAGCGCAACCCACGUAUUUAGUUGCUAACGGUUGGGCCGAGCACUCUAAAUAGACUGCCUUCGUAAGGAGGAGGAAGGUGUGGACGACGUCAAGUCAUCGUGGCCCUUAUGCCCAGGGCGACACACGUGCUACAAU